rnacentral:rRNA from 1 species
UACGGAGGGGGCUAGCGUUGUUCGGAAUUACUGGGCGUAAAGCGCACGUAGGCGGCUUUGUAAGUUAGAGGUGAAAGCCCAGGGCUUAACCCUGGAAUUGCCUUUAAGACUGCAUCGCUAGAAUUGUGGAGAGGUAAGUGGAAUUCCGAGUGUAGAGGUGAAAUUCGUAGAUAUUCGGAAGAACACCAGUGGCGAAGGCGACUUACUGGACACAUAUUGACGCUGAGGUGCAAAAGCGUGGGGAGCAAACAGG